UACGGGGGGAGCAAGCGUUGUUCGGAUUUACCGGGCGUAAAGGGCGCGUAGGCGGUCAGCACAAGUCAGUUGUGAAAUCUCCGGGCUUAACUCGGAAAGGUCAACUGAUACUGUGCGACUAGAGUGCAGAAGGGGCAACUGGAAUUCUCGGUGUAGCGGUGAAAUGCGUAGAUAUCGAGAGGAACACCUGCGGCGAAGGCGGGUUGCUGGGCUGACACUGACGCUGAUGCGCGAAAGCCAGGGGAGCGAACGGG
rnacentral:rRNA from 1 species